rnacentral:misc_RNA from 1 species
UGCUUUCUUGUUUGCAGGUG